rnacentral:rRNA from 1 species
UUCCAGACUCCUACGGGAGGCAGCAGUGGGGAAUAUUGCACAAUGGGGGAAACCCUGAUGCAGCGACGCCGCGUGAGCGAUGAAGUAUUUCGGUAUGUAAAGCUCUAUCAGCAGGGAAGAAGAUGACGGUACCUGACUAAGAAGCCCCGGCUAACUACGUGCCAGCAGCCGCGGUAAUACGUAGGGGGCAAGCGUUAUCCGGAUUUACUGGGUGUAAAGGGAGCGUAGACGGCGAUGCAAGCCAGAUGUGAAAGCCCGGGGCUCAACCCCGGGACUGCAUUUGGAACUGUGUGGCUGGAGUGUCGGAGAGGCAGGCGGAAUUCCUAGUGUAGCGGUGAAAUGCGUAGAUAUUAGGAGGAACACCAGUGGCGAAGGCGGCCUGCUGGACGAUGACUGACGUUGAGGCUCGAAAGCGUGGGGAGCAAACAGGAUUAGAUACCCGCGUAGGC